GUGCUAUUGCCUUAUUUUUAGCUCCCUUUGUUUGUACUUGUGUCUGAAGUUCUGUGCUCCCCUUAGUAGGGAUGGGGGGAGUGGGGUAAUGGAUGACUGCAGACAUGUGGACUCUGAUCUCCAUGUGUAAUCUAAACAAGCCCAACAGGCAGAAGGAACCAGAACACAAUGUAAUCGAAUGUAAUGCAGCUAUCAAGCUAACCGCAACCCAAAAGCUUAGGGGGAAAAAAGAGGGGAAAAAGCCACAGAUGGAUUUAAAUCUAGGUAUUCUCUGUAGCACUGUGACUUUAAUUGGGGGGAAUCUGUGCCUCUCAAUCUUUCUGUCUCUCUCCCUGAGAAUUUAGUGAGUCCCCAACCCCGCCCAGCACACACCCAGCUCCAACCAGAAGCACCACUGUCACUGUAGGACAGGGAGAGAGAGAGAGAGAGAGAUAGAGAGAGAUGGGAGAGCAAUGUGAAGGCAGAAGAGAGGCUGCUGCUUGUCUUUGCAUUUUGAGCAGCAGCAUGAGAGACCCUGCAAUCUCCCAAAUUCUUGGAUUUGGAUCGAGUUUGUGCGGGUGUUUGAGGGGGCAACGUCAGCCAUUGGAAAGGAGAGGAAACCCAUGAGCAGACAAAAGACAAAAUUAGCAUUCAUGGAAGACUGCCCACCAAUGGGAUUGCUUCAGUCUGGCUUUCCAUGGCUGGUGUUUUGGACAGUAAUUGACAUUCUCCAGACAAGAUCAGUACCGACCCGGAAGAAUUAAAUGGGACCAUUUAAUCCAGUGACACUCCAUGCGGCAUCUGUAAUUCUCUGAGUAAUUACCCGCUGGGUGAAAAGAGCCUGACUCCUUAUUGAAUUCAUAUCAAAUGAAAUUUGAAUGCUGGCAGAAUUGUUCUUGCCACAGUUGUCUUGUGAAACUCUGAGACUCACCCUGCCAAGAGGUGGUUUGUGUGCCUGAAAUUCCUAGCCUGUGUUUGAUUACUCUGUAACCUGUAGAAAGGUCUGUGAGCUCACUCUCCACCACAGCAGGAACAUUCUCUCAAUCAGUGCCAAAUGUUUUUUUUUUUUUUUUUUUGGGGGGG